UCUGAUAACCGCUGAAAGCAUCUAAGCGGGAAGCAGACCUCAAGAACAGGCCUCCCGGGAGCAAUCCCCUGAAGAGCCGUCGAAGACGACGACGUCGAUAGGCCGGAGGUGUAAGCGCCGCAAGGCGUUGAGCUGACCGGUACUAAUCGCUCGUGCGGCUUGGUCGU
rnacentral:ncRNA from 1 species